rnacentral:rRNA from 1 species
UACGUAGGGGGCAAGCGUUGUCCGGAUUCAUUGGGCGUAAAGAGCGUGUAGGCGGCCAGGUAGGUCGGUUGUGAAAACUGGAGGCUCAACCUUCAGAGGUCGACCGAAACCAUCUGGCUAGAGUCCGGGAGAGGAGAGUGGAAUUCCUGGUGUAGCGGUGAAAUGCGCAGAUAUCGGGAGGAAUACCGAUGGCGAAGGCAGGUCUCUGGGCUGACACUGACGCUGAGGCGCGAAAGCUAGGGGAGCGAACGGG